AUGAACGCUGGCGGCGUGCCUAAUACAUGCAAGUCGAGCGAACAGACGAGGAGCUUGCUCCUCUGACGUUAGCGGCGGACGGGUGAGUAACACGUGGAUAACCUACCUAUAAGACUGGGAUAACUUCGGGAAACCGGAGCUAAUACCGGAUAAUAUAUUGAACCGCAUGGUUCAAUAGUGAAAGACGGUUUUGCUGUCACUUAUAGAUGGAUCCGCGCCGUAUUAGCUAGUUGGUAAGGUAACGGCUUACCAAGGCAACGAUGCGUAGCCGACCUGAGAGGGUGAUCGGCCACACUGGAACUGAGACACGGUCCAGACUCCUACGGGAGGCAGCAGUAGGGAAUCUUCCGCAAUGGGCGAAAGCCUGACGGAGCAACGCCGCGUGAGUGAUGAAGGUCUUCGGAUCGUAAAACUCUGUUAUUAGGGAAGAACAAAUGUGUAAGUAACUAUGCACGUCUUGACGGUACCUAAUCAGAAAGCCACGGCUAACUACGUG
rnacentral:rRNA from 1 species